ACUGUGCUAAGGUAGCGAAGUCAUUUGUUUUUUUAUUGGAAACUUGUAUGAGGGGAUUAAUGAAGAUUUUUUUAUGAAUGUUUUAAUUGGUGAAUUUAAUUUUUCCAUGAAAAAUUGGAAUUAUUUCUAAAGACGAGAAGACCCCGAAAUCUUUAUUUUAGAAAAAGGUAUUUUAAUUUUUAUUUGGGGGAAAGUUUUAUUUUUAUAUUUAUUUUUAUUAUGAGGAACUUUUGUAGGUUGAUUGGAUAGAUACUUCGGGGUUAACAGGAUUAUUUUUCUUUGAAGUUCUUAUUUUGGGGAGAGAUUAUUACCUCGAUGUUGGCUUUUGAA
rnacentral:rRNA from 1 species